CUCUUCAGUGACCAGAGACGCAGCUCUUCCUGAAGUUCAUUGUAGCAGUGAAGAGAAAGAAACAGACUGGAAAUACUAAAAACACAAGAAAGAAACAAGGAAAUGUCCAGACUCCAGAAGCUUCUUGGUCAGUGUUUACAUGUAGAGGACUGCAGACACACGUGCUCCAAUGUUACUGUAAUUAAAUGAUUUUUAUAGGAAACAAGCUUCUGCUGAAUUCAAAUCUGUUCCAGUUUUGUCCACAAGGUGGCAUUGAAAUUCACAUUUUCGACGCUAGGAGAGGAUUCUCCAGGACUGCCCUCUUGUGGUGAUCAUUCUUCUUUUUGGUUAUGAUUAAGUCCAUAAGGUCAAGACAGGUCACCAUAUGGACUUCACACAACCAGCAAUGACAAAAACACCAGGUACCAGGAAUCCAGACCUGUGUCAAACUCACAGUAGAUAAUGGUUGGUGGUUGACCCCCAGUGAGACAGAACCCAGAAGAUUACCAGCACGAGAUGGAAAAAGGUCGGUGUCGUUCUGAGGAAGUGGUGCUAUUACCGUACAUCUACAACCCACACAACACCAGAGGUGAGUGACAGCACUGGUCAAGACCAUGUGACAUGGUCACCUGACUGUAGUCUGCUCUUCACAUGUCAGUGUUCUCAGAUGGUGGUUGUUUUGUGGUUUGAUCUGAUACAAAUGACUGUCCAACUCCAGGUGAACAGAGACAAUGCUUUUAUCUGAGAAUUACUUUUUAAAAUGGUAAUGAAUAACAGACAGAACAGAAGUCAGUCCUUAACAGGCAAUUUUAUUCUGAAAUAAAAGGUUACAAGGGUUGGACAAAGGGUAAAGCGAUGUAGGAUCACAUUCCCAUCAAGCGUAGUGACAAACAAACAGCAUGUUUCCAAGGGUGAUGUUUUU